UCAUAUGGAUUCCUACGGGAGGCAGCAGUGGGGAAUUUUUGGCAAUGGGCGAAAGCCUGACCAAGCAACGCCGCGUGGGUGAUGAAGUACCUUGGUACGUAAAACCCUUUCGGCAGGAACGAACCUAAUGACGGUACCUGCGGAAGAAGCCCCGGCUAACUCCGUGCCAGCAGCCGCGGUAAUACGGGGGGGGCAAGCGUUGUUCGGAAUUAUUGGGCGUCAAGGGCGCGUAGGCGGUUGGAUAAGUCAGCUGUGAAAACCACGGGCUUAACUCGUGGCCUGCAGUUGAAACUGUCUGGCUCGAGUGUGGGAGAGGAGAGUGGAAUUCCUGGUGUAGCGGUGAAAUGCGUAGAUAUCAGGAGGAACACCGGUGGCGAAGGCGGCUCUCUGGACCACAACUGACGCUGAGGCGCGAAAGCUAGGGGAGCAAACAGGAUUAGAUACCCUGGUAGUCCUAGCUGUAAACGAUGGAUACUUGGUGUGGGGGGUGUUAAAUCCCCCUGUGCCGGAGCUAACGCAUUAAGUAUCCCGCCUGGGGAGUACGGUCGCAGGGCUGAAACUCAAAGGAAUUGACGGGGGCCCACACAAGCGGUGGAGCAUGUGGUUCAAUUCGACGCAACGCGAAGAACCUUACCUGGGCUUGAACUGGAGUGGAAGCAGGCAGAGAUGUCUGUGUCCUUUACCGGACUGCUCUAGAGGUGCUGCAUGGCUGUCGUCAGCUCGUGUCGUGAGAUGUUGGGUUAAGUCCCGCAACGAGCGCAACCCUUGUCCUUAGUUGCUAACGAGUCAAGUCGAGAACCCUAAGGAAACUGUCGGUGAUAAACCGGAGGAAGGUGGGGAUGACGUCAAGUCCUCAUGGUCUUUAUGUCCAGGGCUACACACGUGCUACAAUGGGCGGUACAAAGGGUCGCAAACCCGCGAGGGGGAGCCAAUCCCAAAAAAGCGCGCUCAGUUCGGAUUGCGGUCUGCAACCCGACCGCAUGAAGCCGGAAUCGCUAGUAAUGGCGCAUCAGCACGGCGCCGUGAAUACGUUCCCGGGCCUUGUACACACCGCCAU
rnacentral:rRNA from 1 species